CCUACGGGAGGCAGCAGUGAGGAAUAUUGGUCAAUGGGCUAAGGCCUGAACCAGCCAAGUAGCGUGAAGGAUGACUGCCCUAUGGGUUGUAAACUUCUUUUAUAUGGGAAUAAAACAGGGUAUGCAUACCCUCUUGUAUGUACCAUAUGAAUAAGGAUCGGCUAACUCCGUGCCAGCAGCCGCGGUAAUACGGAGGAUCCGAGCGUUAUCCGGGGUUAUUGGGUUUAAAGGGAUCGUAGGUGGAUUGUUAAGUCAGUUGUUAAAGUUUGCGGCUCAAACGUAAAAUUGCAGUUGAAACUGGCAGUCUUGAGUACAGUAGAGGUGGGCGGAAUUCGUGGUGUAGCGGUGAAAUGCUUAGAUAUCACGAAGAACUCCGAUUGCGAAGGCAGCUCACUGGACUGCAACUGACACUGAUGCUCGAAAGUGUGGGUAUCAAACAGGAUUAGAUACCCGAGUAGUC
rnacentral:rRNA from 1 species